UAAUACGUAGGCAGCGAGCGUUGUUCGGAGUUACUGGGCGUAAAGCGUGCGUAGGCGGUCUUUUAAGUCUGGUGUGAAAUCUCCUGGCUCAACUGGGAGGGUGCGCCGGAUACUGGGAGGCUGGAGUACCGGAGAGGUAGGCGGAAUUCCUGGUGUAGCGGUGAAAUGCGUAGAUAUCAGGAGGAACACCUGUGGUGUAGACGGCCUGCUGGACGGUGACUGACGCUGAGGCACGAAAGCGUGGGGAGCAAACAGGAUUAGAUACCCUGGUAGUCCACGCCCUAAACGAUGCACACUUGGUGUGGGCAGUUCAGUCUGUCUGUGCCGGAGCUAACGCGUUAAGUGUGCCGCCUGGGGAGUACGGUCGCAAGGCUG
rnacentral:rRNA from 1 species